rnacentral:lncRNA from 1 species
GCUUCCUAACAAGUUAUUUUAUGAGCAAGUGAAGCCCUUUAGAAAUGACCAGCCUUGGAUUUCAAAAUAUAUUCUUCUUGUCCUCUUUCCCAUUUGUAGGCAUCUCAAAACUCUUUGGGAAAGGAUAUUUGUUGGAUGUUUACAUUAUGGUCUGUUUUAUUCCAUCUCUGUCCACUCUAUAUGCCAUGGUGACACAGGUCAGUGAAAACACUGCAAGGAAAGAGCCAUCUGAGAAACGUGGAGCGGACAGAAAGCUGGCGACAACUGUCAAACUGUCAGAAAAAGGUGAUUUCCACUUUCUCUGUGAAGUAUCCAUUUUUGUAUUCCUUGAUCAUGCAUACCUUGUCAGUAGUUUGGUUUCUGACUGCACUGUGCCACAAUGUAUGCACUUAGAAUACGUAAGUCUCGGUACAAUGUUUUUUGAAAUAUUUUUGAAUGC